CCCGCACAAGCCGUUGGAAGCCAUGUGGUUUAAUUCGAAGCAACGCGGAAGAACCUUACCCAAAUCUUGACAUCUUCUUGACCCCUCUAGAGAUAGAGUUUUCCCCUUCGGGGGACAGAGUGACAGGUGGUGCAUGGUUGUCGUCAGCUCGUGUCGUGAGAUGUUGGGUUAAGUCCCGCAACGAGCGCAACCCUUAAGCUUAGUUGCCAUCAUUAAGUUGGGCACUCUAAGUUGACUGCCGGUGACAAACCGGAGGAAGGUGGGGAUGACGUCAAAUCAUCAUGCCCCUUAUGAUUUGGGCUACACACGUGCUACAAUGGACAAUACAAAGGGCAGCGAAACCGCGAGGUCAAG
rnacentral:rRNA from 1 species